GAACAAGCAAUCAAUAUACCAAGCUUGAUAUUCAUAAAUCUUAAAAGCAAUAAAGUCAUGUAAACAUCCAAAACAUCAUGGAAUUAAUUAGCUAAAAGUCUACCACAUUUUCUUUAUUUCCCCCAAAACAUAAAAAAAUAAAUAAACACCUACAAAAUAAUGAUAAUGAUAAAGUCUUGCUUGGAUCAUUCUCUCAGAACCACA
rnacentral:lncRNA from 1 species